rnacentral:rRNA from 1 species
AGCGAACGCUGGCGGCAGGCUUAACACAUGCAAGUCGAGCGGGCAUCCUUGUGGUGUCAGCGGCAGACGGGUGAGUAACGCGUGGGAACGUGCCCUUCGGUUCGGAAUAACUCAGGGAAACUUGAGCUAAUACCGGAUACGUGCGAGAGCAGAAAGGUUUAUCUGCCGAAGGAUCGGCCCGCGUCUGAUUAGCUAGUUGGUGAGGUUAUGGCUCACCAAGGCGACGAUCAGUAGCUGGUCUGAGAGGAUGAUCAGCCACACUGGGACUGAGACACGGCCCAGACUCCUACGGGAGGCAGCAGUGGGGAAUAUUGGACAAUGGGGGCAACCCUGAUCCAGCCAUGCCGCGUGAGUGAUGACGGCCUUAGGGUUGUAAAGCUCUUUUCUCCGGGACGAUGAUGACGGUACCGGAGGAAUAAGCCCCGGCUAACUUCGUG